UGCCAGUUGUGGCGUAAAAACAGCAGGUGCCAGCGGAGCAACCCGCGAUAACAAAGCGUA
rfam:Clostridium sp. FS41 CLFS41_contig000105, whole genome shotgun sequence.